UGCCGCGUGCAGGAUGACGGCCCUAUGGGUUGUAAACUGCUUUUAUAUAAGRAARAAACCUUUUUACGUGUAGAAAGCUAGACCAGUCCUMUAUCUAAUAAGGMCCGGCUAACUCCGUGCCAGMAGCCGCAGGUAAUACUUGAGGGUCCAAGCGUUGUCCAGGAAUUUAUUGGGUUUAAAGGRUACUUAUGUGGAACUUUWAGUCMUCGGYKAAAGCCUCCAGCUCAACUGKWCAAUUGCYGUUGAAACUGAAGUUCCUGRRUAUUGCUGAGGUGGCUGGAAUACAGCAUGUAUACGGUGAAAUGCUUAGAUAUGUUAUAGAACACCAAUUGCGGAAUUGCUSCUGACUAWACCAUUMUUGACCUGAGGUACGAAAGCGUGAGGAGCCCACAGG
rnacentral:rRNA from 1 species